ACUAAUUUGCGGGGGGACUACUUGGUAGUUGAGAAGGUUAAAACCUGACCCUUUGAACCUGUCGGUUAAUACCGGCGUAGGGAAGCGAAUCAUUACAUCUA
rnacentral:ncRNA from 2 species